AGCCGUAUGUGAAUCGCCAUUCUGCUCACCGCAAGUUGGUGGGGAACAAAUCCACCGUGCAGGCAUUAACGACACUUAUGCAGAAUCCGCACGUUAACAGUAUCACGUAGAACCAGAUGGCCAGCAGAGCCUUUCCGGAUAGAUAGAGGCCGUAUUCUGGAAGAAGCAUGCUACAGAAAAACAAGGCAAUAUUGUACAGUUGCGUGGUGCCUUAUUCCCAAUCAUACUGGUAUACACCGAGGUAACAAUCAUUCGGAGUGGUCCGGCGGCCGGGGCCAGGCUUCCCAUGGCAGAACCGGAUAUCGAAUUCCAUCAAAUAGGAUUCAACCGCCUCCUCGUACGUACGGACUGUCUAUUGGGCUAAGAUUAAAUAAAUUUAUGGGAAGUCAGUAAAGGCAGGCCAUAACCUCUUGAGGUUGUAAAGCCAAUUAAGAAAUAAUCAUUUCGUGUUUAAUUUCAGCCUUGAAACAUGGUUAUUUUCGAGCAAUACAAUAUAAUGUGGUGUAAAGAGCAUUGUGUAAAAUAACAUCGCGAAUAAUUUCGCAAUUGAAUAUUACUAAACAAUUUUAGUAGACCAAGGCGAUUGUAGAACAUAAGUAGUUCAUCAAAGAAAUAUAAACCGUUGUAACCGUU